rnacentral:rRNA from 1 species
CAAAGGAGGCGACUCCGGAGACGGAUGGGCAUGCGUGACAUUAGCUUGUUGGCGGGGUAACGGCCCACCAAGGCGACGAUGUCUAGGGGUUCUGAGAGGAAGGUCCCCCACACUGGUACUGAGACACGGACCAGACUCCUACGGGAGGCAGCAGUGAGGAAUAUUGGUCAAUGGGCGAGAGCCUGAACCAGCCAAGUCGCGUGAAGGAUGACGGCCCUACGGGUUGUAAACUUCUUUUGUCAGGGAGCAAUUGAGUCCACGUGUGGGCUUAGCGAGAGUACCUGAAGAAAAAGCAUCGGCUAACUCCGUGCCAGCAGCCGCGGUAAUACGGAGGAUGCGAGCGUUAUCCGGAUUUAUUGGGUUUAAAGGGUGCGUAGGCGGAAUAUCAAGUCAGCGGUAAAAAUUCGGGGCUCAACCCCGUCGUGCCGUUGAAACUGAUGUUCUUGAGUGGGCGAGAAGUAUGCGGAAUGCGUGGUGUAGCGGUGAAAUGCAUAGAUAUCACGCAGAACUCCGAUUGCGAAGGCAGCAUACCGGCGCCCAACUGACGCUGAAGCACGAAAGCGUGGGUAUCGAACAGGAUUAGAUACCCUGGUAGUCCACGCAGUAAACGAUGAAUGCUAAUUGUCCGGAGGGAUUGACCUCUGG